rnacentral:rRNA from 1 species
AUUGAACGCUGGCGGCAGGCUUAACACAUGCAAGUCGAGCGGGGAAGGGUAGCUUGCUACCUAACCUAGCGGCGGACGGGUGAGUAAUGCUUAGGAAUCUGCCAUUUAGUGGGGGACAACAUUCCGAAAGGAAUGCUAAUACCGCAUACGUCCUACGGGAGAAAGCAGGGGAUCUUCGGACCUUGCGCUAAAUGAUGAGCCUAAGUCGGAUUAGCUAGUUGGUGGGGUAAAGGCCUACCAAGGCGACGAUCUGUAGCGGGUCUGAGAGGAUGAUCCGCCACACUGGGACUGAGACACGGCCCAGACUCCUACGGGAGGCAGCAGUGGGGAAUAUUGGACAAUGGGCGAAAGCCUGAUCCAGCCAUGCCGCGUGUGUGAAGAAGGCCUUUUGGUUGUAAAGCACUUUAAGCGAGGAGGAGGCUACUAGUACUAAUACUACUGGAUAGUGGACGUUACUCGCAGAAUAAGCACCGGCUAACUCUGUGCCAGCCGCCGCGGUAA